UGAAAGACGCGCAUUUGUUAUCAUCAUCCCUGUUUUCAGAGAUGAAAUUUUGGCCACAUUUAUUGUGGCCUUUUUC
rnacentral:sRNA from 1 species